AACGAAGUGAAUUGAAAUAUCUUAGUAACUUUAGGAAAAGAAAUCAAACGAGAUUGUUAUUUGGUGCCAACUAAAUAACAAGAGCCUAUUAACAAAACUUGUUAAAGUAAAACGGAUUAAAAUCUGUUUGAAUAUAGGGGAACCUUCCUCUAAGGCUAAAUAUGAUAUAUAAGCGAUAGUGAAAAGUACCGUGAGGUAAAAUUUGAAAUAGUAGUUUUAUAAGCAGCUCGAGUGAAAAUUUAAAUAAAUAAUAAGAGCGUACCUUUUGCAUAAUGGGUCAGCAAGUUAAUUUUAGAUGCAAGCAAUGAUUUCGUGCGCUUCGCGCAUGAAACUAGCUUAGAUAAACCAAUUAUGAGAAAAUGAAUAAGUAUCUAGAAUUAGACCCGAAGGCUAGUGAUCUUACCAUGGUCAGGGUUAUAAAAGCCCGAACGGGUUAUCGUUGUAUAGAUAUCCGAAGAAUUGUGGUAAGUUAGUGAAAGACAAAACUGACUAGUAUAGCUGGUUUUCCGCGAAACCUAUAUGAGUAGGUAAUUUAAUUAACAUCUUAGCAGGUACAGAACUGUGAUCUCGGACAAUAUCUUUUGAUUUUGUCAACAUCGGGGGGUUGUAGUGACUUUACCGGAGAGUAUUUGCACUCGGAAUGGCAAAGAUGAAUGUUGAAUAAUCGGACAUAGUGCGAUAAGGUUGUAUGUCUAAAGGGAAACAGCCCAGAACAAGAGUUAAGGUUCCAAAAUUAUUGUUGAGUGAAAUUAAGGAUGUUUUUUUUAAAAACAAUCAGGAAAUAGGCUUAGAAGCGGCCAUUUUUUGAAGACCUCGUAACAGAGCACUGAUUAAAUUUUUUAGAAAAAAACACCGAAAAUUUAACGGAUCUAAACAAUAUACCGAAACCUUGUACACAUAUUUAUAAUAAUAAUUAUUGUAUAUGUGGGGUAGCGGAACAUUGGAUAAAUAUUAAUUAUUAUUUCUUCUAAGAAAUAAUAAGUAUGGAUUAUUAUUUAUAAUAUUUAUUAAUUAAGGAUAUUUAUAUAAUAUUAUUAUAUCUAAAAGGUAUAAUGUAUAUAUGAAUAUAUAGAUGUAUUAUAUAUGUCUUUAUUAUUAAAAUAAUCCAUCGAUAUAAUCCAAGAGAGAAUGCUGACAUGAGUAACGAAAAAGGAAUAUCCUCGCCUUAAGCUUAUGGUAUUAUAUUUAAUUUUCGGUAUCUAAAAAUAUUAAUCAAAAGGUAAUUUUGAUGAUAUUUAUAUAUUAAUACUUAAAAGUAAAAAACAAAACCUUUAACAAGUAAUAAAGGUUCUGGAAAAUUUUUUACUUUAGAUAAAAUAUAUACUAAUAUUUUUAGUCUUAUAAAUAAAGCUCAAUAUGUUAUAUUGUAUAACUAUAUAAUUUCUUGUUACAAGUUUUCAAGAUUGUAUAGUGUAAAUACAAUAUAAUAGAGUUUUAUGAAAAAAAAAUAUAUAUUUUAUCUUUAUACUAUUGUAUAAUUUAAGACUGUUAUACAAAUAAUAUAAGUAUAAUAAGGUUUAUAUAUACCGUACCUAGAUACUAUCACAAGUAAGCAAGUAGAGAAUACAAAGGCGUUUGAGUGAACAAUCAUUAAGGAACUCGGCAAAUUGACUACCGUAACUUCGGGAUAAGGAGGGCCAUUAUAAUUAGUUUAACAUAUCUUAGGAUAUGAUUUAAUUAAACUAAUCAUAAGAGGAAACAUAAAAUAAUGUUGUACGACUGUUUAAUAAAAACACAGCACUCUGCAAAGAUAAAAUAUCAAAGUAUUGAGUGUGAUGUCUGCCCAAUGUCGGCUGGGUAACGGAUUUACCUUGGUUUUUAACUGAGGUUUUGAAGGAUACCCCGAUUAAUGGCGGCCUUACCUAUGAGGGUCCUAAGGUAGCGAAAUACCUUGGCCGUUAAAUGCGGUCCUGCAUGAAUGACUUAACGAUACAACAGCUGUCUCGAUGAUUGUCUCAGUGAAAUUGGAAUAGCAGUGCAGAUACUGUUUACCUCUAGAUAGACGAGAAGACCCUAUGCAGCUUUACUGUUACUAAUUGCAAGAGUGAAAAUUUAGGAUGAUUUCGAGUGUAUAAGGUAGUUGUCUGAUAACAAUGAAACACCUUUAUUCGUUUCCUACUAUAUGCUCUUGAGGAUUGGGAGGCAGUUUAUGCGGGGCACAGAUCCCACAAAAAGUACCUGGGUAUAUCCAAAGUUCAUUUUGUAAAUUUGUAAAUUUCUUUACAAAUAUUUUAAUUUGUUAUAAUUAUAUUCAUAAUUAUACAGUUAUUGUUAGAUUAAGUUCAAUAUUUAUUUUUAUUUUAAGUAAGAUUUUAACUAUAUGGUGAAUAGAUGUAUUUUAAACUUUAAUAUUUAAAAGUUUUUUGUCAUAUUAAUAUUGUAUUUUAUCUUUAUUAAUAUGAUAAUUAAUUAUACUUUAAAAGUUUAAUGGCUAAAUCUUGCUUUACUGUUUGACCUACAAGUCUAUCAGUCGCGUAAGCGGGGCAUAUGAUCACAAGAUGCAUAAAGGAAAGGUCUUGGAUUAUAGAAAAAGUUACGCUAGGGAUAACAGGCUAAUUUGCGCAAGAGAGUACAAAUUGAGUGCGCGGUUUGGCACCUCGAUGUCGGCUUAGCUCAUCCACAUGAAUGCAAAAAUCAUGAAGGGUUCGACUGUUCGUCGAUUAAAGAGCUACAUGAGCUGGGUUUAAUACGUCGUGAGACAGUAUGGUUUCUAUCUUCUAGAGGGAAUUAAAGUAGAAUAAAGAUAGCCCCUUCGUACGAAAGGAGUUGGGUAUAUUGACCUAUGGUUUACCUGUUGUUUAUGUUAUAUAUUAUUUAUGUAAAUAAUAUAUCAUUUACUUAUACUUAAGUAAAUUGUUCACAUAGGCAUGGCAGGAAGGCUACGUCAGUUAAAGAUAAGUGCUGAAAGCAUUUAAGCGCGAAGCUUACUUUAGGAUACUUUUAAACGUAGUAGAACACUACGA
rnacentral:rRNA from 1 species